rnacentral:misc_RNA from 1 species
AUUGGCAAUUAAAUUGCACGAAACUCCGCAUAUGCCUUGAAGAUGGUGACCAAAAACAAAUCAAUAUUAGAGAAAGCAAGAAAGCAUAUGCAACAUGGAGGUAUUAUUUUUCCAACAGCGCGUGGAAUUAUAUAAUAUGAUAAUAAUAAUAAUAAUAUCACAAAAAAACAAACACAGGAAAAUCCAUCUAAGCUAUGGAGGUAAAGUUGAAGUUGGCACAAGUUGUCUGUCUAAACAACAGUGAAGAGCUGAACCCAAGCUUGGAAGUGGCUAGAUCAAACUGUAGAAGAUUUUCCUCCAAUUGAUGCCCACCAAUGACUAUUGAAGUCCUGGGAUUUGCACCUCCAUCCACGAAUCCCAGACACAGAACAUCACUUUUAACUUGAACCAUUGAGUUUGCACCAAAAAUCCUCCAGAAAACGGUACUGCUUUGCAAGACAAGAUCAAUUUGAGGCACGGCUGGGCCAACUCGAGUGCUGCCGAUGUUGGUUGAGUUAAAGCAAGCCCCAAAAGGUGCCACAGGUGCCACUCUAGGGACUUCAGCUAGUUCCCUGAUAAAAGCAUUGACAACAGCACUGUAGAUUGUUGUUUCCAUUACUGUGUAAGGAUCUACAGUGCUUAUCUUGGUUCCUCCAAAUCCUUCUAUAUUAUUAAUGGUUAACAAUGAUGUGUUCAAUGGAACAGCUUUUCCAUUGAUCUUGAUAGACUUGACUCCAAUGAAGUAUUCAGAGGACGGAUCACCUUCAAAAGAUGCAGAUGCUGUGCUCACCGGGUUGAGAAUUAAUGGGGUGUAAAUGAGAGAUUUGGAGACAUCAAUAUUUGGAAGCAAAACGUAAGGCCCAUCACCAAAGAUCACCACACCCUUGGCAUUUGUCGAAGAGCUUAAACAAAUGGCAAACUUCCUUCUCAAUUCUCCGCUGCUUUUAGCUUUGACAGGAAGUUUGCCAU